rnacentral:lncRNA from 1 species
UGAGUGCAAAUAAGGCUGGGAAAGAAUAGCCUCGGCUGUAGAAUGCUGCCCAGGAGCACCCAGGACAACCCUCUCUUCGUUCAAGAAACAAUUCAAAUGCUCAAUGGAUGACAAAGCAAGGUUGAAGUAUGGGAGUGUGAAGAGUUUGUUUCCUGACCAGCUUCAUUCAGGCUGGUUGCCGGCAUUGUGACCAAAUAUCAACAUGUUUUCAGAUACUUUUGUAAGAAUGGAGUCGAAGUUAUAAUCCCACUGGGCUCUGUUGUACUUCUACUAGCUUGUACAUGACUUUCUGGAUCUAGAGGGACUGAAUAUUGUUUGGUUGAAUUGUGCUAGACACAGGACCAGAGAACUUGGGACAAAAAUAUUCUGGAGAACCAGAAGGUAUGACAGAAUCCACAGGUUACAGUCAAGUUAUCUUUCUACUUCGUAUCU